UNGAGGUACAGUAGGAGACAGGCCUGGGA
rnacentral:piRNA from 1 species